CUCCUUGUCUAAUUGCAUUGCUCUCAACUGUACUCCAUCAUGCGGACGUGAUUUUAUCACUUGCAUGGUUGAAUAUUUCCACAUAUUAUUAAUGUCAAACUAUAGUAGGAAAAGUAUUUUAUGUUUAUUAUUGCUUGAUUGCUUGUUUGUAUAUUGAUGGAAAUAAA